GAUGAACGCUGGCGGCGUGCUUAACACAUGCAAGUCGAACGGGAAUUCUUUUAUUGACACUUCGGUCGAUUUAAUUUAAUUCUAGUGGCGGACGGGUGAGUAACGCGUGGGUAACCUGCCUUAUACAGGGGGAUAACAGUCAGAAAUGGCUGCUAAUACCGCAUAAGCGCACAGAGCUGCAUGGCUCAGUGUGAAAAACUCCGGUGGUAUAAGAUGGACCCGCGUUGGAUUAGCUGGUUGGUGGGGUAACGGCCCACCAAGGCGACGAUCCAUAGCCGGCCUGAGAGGGUGAACGGCCACAUUGGGGCUGAGACACGGCCCAGACUCCUACGGGAGGCAGCAGUGGGGAAUAUUGCACAAUGGGGGAAACCCUGAUGCAGCGACGCCGCGUGAAGGAAGAAGUAUCUCGGUAUGUAAACUUCUAUCAGCAGGGAAGAUAGUGACGGUACCUGACUAAGAAGCCCCGGCUAACUACGUG
rnacentral:rRNA from 1 species